rnacentral:rRNA from 1 species
GAUGAACGCUGGCGGCGUGCCUAAUACAUGCAAGUCGAGCGAACGGACGAGAAGCUUGCUUUUCUGAUGUUAGCGGCGGACGGGUGAGUAACACGUGGAUAACCUACCUAUAAGACUGGGAUAACUUCGGGAAACCGGAGCUAAUACCGGAUAAUAUUUUGAACCGCAUGGUUCAUAAGUGAAAGACGGUCUUGCUGUCACUUAUAGAUGGAUCCGCGCUGCAUUAGCUAGUUGGUAAGGUAACGGCUUACCAAGGCAACGAUGCAUAGCCAACCUGAGAGGGUGAUCGGCCACACUGGAACUGAGACACGGUCCAGACUCCUACGGGAGGCAGCAGUAGGGAAUCUUCCGCAAUGGGCGAAAGCCUGACGGAGCAACGCCGCGUGAGUGAUGAAGGUCUUCGGAUCGUAAAACUCUGUUAUUAGGGAAGAACAUAUGUGUAAGUAACUGUGCACAUCUUGACGGUACCUAAUCAGAAAGCCACGGCUAACUACGUG